AUUGAACGCUGGCGGCAUGCUUUACACAUGCAAGUCGAACGGUAACAGGGUGCUUGCACCGCUGACGAGUGGCGAACGGGUGAGUAAUGCGUCGGAACGUGCCGAGUAGUGGGGGAUAACGCAGCGAAAGUUGUGCUAAUACCGCAUACGUACUGAGGUAGAAAGUGGGGGACCUUCGGGCCUCACGCUAUUCGAGCGGCCGACGUCUGAUUAGCUAGUAGGUGAGGUAAAGGCUCACCUAGGCGACGAUCAGUAGCAGGUCUGAGAGGAUGAUCCGCCGCACUGGGACUGAGACACGGCCCAGACUCCUACGGGAGGCAGCGGUGGGGAAUUUUGGACAAUGGGCGAAAGCCUGAUCCAGCCAUGCGGCGUGUCUGAAGAAGGCCUUCGGGUUGUAAAGGACUUUUGUCGGGGAGGAAAUCCCCAGCGUUAAUACCGCUGGGGGAUGACAGUACCUGAAGAAUAAGCACCGGCUAACUACGUGCCAGCCGCCGCGGUAACAC
rnacentral:rRNA from 1 species